UACGAAGGGUGCAAACGUUGCUCGGAAUUAUUGGGCGUAAAGCGCACGUAGGCGGCUUAGCAAGUCGGAUGUGAAAGCCCUCGGCUCAACCAAGGAAGUGCAUCCGAAACUGCUGAGCUUGAGUACUUAAGAGGAUCGCGGAAUUCCCGGUGUAGAGGUGAAAUUCGUAGAUAUCGGAGAACACCAGUGGCGAAGGCGGCGACUGGGACGAUACUGACGCUGAGGUGACGGAACGGAUGGGCA
rnacentral:rRNA from 1 species